CCCGGUCCCAUUCCGAACCCGGAAGCUAAGCCCCUCAGCGCCGAUGGUACUGCGCGGGAGACUGCGUGGGAGAGUAGGACGCCGCCGGAC
rnacentral:rRNA from 1 species